AGAACGAAGAGGGUUUUCUUGAUUCUUCGGGAUUUGCUUGAGAGCUUUAGAGUUUCGAGGCUUCAAGGCUUUGGUGUGUUGUGAAUUGGUUAUGAAUUGGUCCCCCAAAGUGAAUGUCUGAGUUUCCUAUUUAUAGAAUUCCAAAACUUGAUUUUUUUGAUUUAAAUAAUCAGAUGAAAUAAAUCAUUUCUGCCAAGUGUUGACACGUGUCAAGUUUGAUGACUUUUCUAAUGCUUCUCGAUUUUUCGUUGAGUCACAUGGUAUGUGUAAAAUUUAUUUGACACGUGAACGUUGAAAUUUUAAUUAUUGAUCAACAUUUAUUUCACCAAAAUUUCGAUAUCUACAAGUUUUUACCUAGAAUUCAUGGGUUUUUAUCUUUAAUGGGUUUUUAAAGAUAAAUGGUUUUCUAGACUCCAUCAUAUAAUAAAGGAGGAAGCUAAGAGUCUAAGACGUGGAUGUGUUGUUUAGCUGCCACGACUCUCGAGACUCUGAGCACACACCCUACAAAACAAAUCGUCUACUGAACUUCUCUCUCUCUCUCUUCACUCUCUCUCUCUGGAUUUUGGAUGAGUGCUAAUCCUCCCGACUGCUCAAAGUAAAGAAAUUAAUCUCAAACUCGUACUCGAUCAUGUCUCGCCUGAAGAACGACUGCUUGUCUUUCACUGUUUCAUUGCAAGAGGGUUUUCGUUAUGUUAAGGCAUGCUUCGUUGGUCAGGCUAAGAAGUUGACAGCAAGGAAUGAGAAGGAAGCAACAGAAGCUGAGCUUCAGACAGCCAAAAUGCAAGUUGAUGCAGUUGAUGCCGCUGAGGAUACCAAAAACCAAGUGAGAAGUCAAAAUAGGUGUGUGGAUAACACUACUCUUACUUUAACUUAUUUAUAAUGUGUAAAUAAUGUGCAUUCACGUAUGAUCCAACAAGUGCAUAAAACACACAACAAAUAAGAAAUAAGAAAUAGCCAGAGAGUAUGAUAACUUUAAGGUAUUAUACAUUAAAUUUUAAUAUUA